UACGUAGGGGGCUAGCGUUGUCCGGAAUCAUUGGGCGUAAAGCGCGCGUAGGCGGCCAGAUAAGUCCGGUGUGAAAGUCACAGGCUCAACCUGUGAAUGCCGCUGGAAACUGUCUGGCUUGAGUCCGGAAGGGGCGAGUGGAAUUCCUGGUGUAGCGGUGAAAUGCGCAGAUAUCAGGAGGAACACCAAUGGCGAAGGCAGCUCGCUGGAACGGUACUGACGCUGAGGCGCGAAAGCUAGGGGAGCGAACGGG
rnacentral:rRNA from 1 species